rnacentral:rRNA from 1 species
ACUAUGUCUGGGAGUGGCACACUGCUCAGUAACACGUAGCUAACCUACCCUUAGGACGUGGAUACCCCCGAGAAAUUGGGGUUAAUCCGCGAUAGAUGUAAUGUCCUGGAAUGGUAUUACGUCUAAAGGUAUUUCAUACAUGUUUGAAAUAUGCCUAAGGAUGGGGCUGCGGCCGAUCAGGCUGUUGGUGAGGUAAUGGCUCACCAAACCUUUGACCGGUACGGGCCAUGAGAGUGGUAGCCCGGAGAUGGACACUGAGACAAGGGUCCAGGCCCUAAGGGGCGCAGCAACCGCGAAACCUCCACAAUGCACUCACGUGCGAUGGGGCUAUCUCGAGUGCCACCUGAUGAAGGUGGCUUUUCCUUGGUCUUCAAAGCCUUGGGAAUAAGAGGGGGGCAAGACUGGUGUCAGCCGCCGCGGUAACACCAGCCCCUCGAGUGGUGGGGAUGAUUAUUUGGCCUAAAGCGUCCGUAGCCGGCCGUGAAAGUCUUCCGUUAAAUCCAGCGUCUCAAGCGUUGGACCGCGGGAGAUACUACAUGGCUAGAGAGUGGGAGAGGUCAGCGGUAUUCUGGGGGUAGGGGCGAAAUCCUUUGAUCCCCGGAGGACCACCAGUGGCGAAGGCUGCUGACUAGAACACGUCUGACGGUCAGGGACGAAAGCUGGGGUAGCGAACCGGAUUAGAUACCCGGGUAGUCCCAGCCGUAAACGAUGCAUGCUAGGUGUUGGGUUGGCCACGAGCCACCCCAGUGCCGCAGGGAAGCCGUUAAGCAUGCCGCCUGGGAAGUACGAUCGCAAGAUUGAAACUUAAAGGAAUUGGCGGGGGAGCACCACCAGGCGUGAAGCCUGCGGUUUAAUUGGAUUCAACGCCGGG